ensembl:snoRNA predicted gene, 25917
AUGUCCACAUCCUAGAGGCAUUGCAGGUGUGGCUGUUGUGUCACAUGUGCGUCAGUAGGUGGCCAAGAGGAGAGAGGCUAUGUCUACACUCAGUGUUCUGACCUGUGAGCCUCUGACUGAUUAGUAGCCUAACACU